GCUCCAUGAUGCUCCAGUCAAUAAGAGUGUAGCUUCGAUCUUCAUGUGUCACCAGGACAAACAUACAGCAUUAGAAUGUCAAAACAGCUGUUUUUAAACUACAAUUACGUCAGAUGUUCAUACAAAUACGAGAAACAGUUUUAAAUGAAACUCAGCCACCCCGAGCUUCUCUUCUUGUUGCAUCAUGGAGCAAAUCAAUGUC
rnacentral:misc_RNA from 1 species